rnacentral:piRNA from 1 species
UGGUUGCUUGUUCAUCUUUUU